ensembl:rRNA 5S_rRNA 5S ribosomal RNA
GAUGGUGCAAAUACUACAUCUUGAAGAUAAUGCACCUGAUCUCAUCUGAACUCAGAAGCUAAGCAGGUUUGGGCCUGGUUAGUAUUUGGAUGGGAGACCACCUGGGAAUACUAGGUGCUGCAGGCG